rnacentral:rRNA from 1 species
UACGGAGGGUGCGAGCGUUGUCCGGAAUCAUUGGGCGUAAAGGGCGCGUAGGUGGCCUGGUCAGCGUGCGGUGAAAGCUCGGGGCUCAACCCCGAGUCGGCCGUGCGAGCUGCUGGGCUUGAGCACUGUAGAGGCAGGCGGAAUUCCGGGUGUAGCGGUGGAAUGCGUAGAGAUCCGGAAGAACACCGGUGGCGAAGGCGGCCUGCUGGGCAGUAGCUGACACUGAGGCGCGACAGCGUGGGGAGCAAACAGG